UUUCUGGUGGUCCAGUGGUUAAGACUUUGCACUUCCAAUGCAGGGGGUAUAAGUUUGAUCCCUGGUCAGGAAA
rnacentral:tRNA from 1 species